rnacentral:tRNA from 1 species
ACUUGAAUAGCUUAUUUUAGAGCACGACACUGAAGAUGUCGUUGUGGUGUUUAUGCACCUUUAAGUA